UACGUAGGUGACAAGCGUUGUCCGGAUUUACUGGGCGUAAAGAGCGCGCAGGCGGUCGAUCAAGUCGAGUGUGAAAGCCCCCGGCUCAACCGUGGAGGGUCAUUGGAAACUGGGGGACUUGAGUACAGAAGAGAAGAGUGGAAUUCCACGUGUAGCGGUGAAAUGCGUAGAGAUGUGGAGGAACACCAGUGGCGAAGGCGACUCUUUGGUCUGUAACUGACGCUGAGGCGCGAAAGCGUGGGGAGCAAACAGG
rnacentral:rRNA from 1 species